rnacentral:rRNA from 1 species
UACGGAGGAUGCAAGCGUUAUCCGGAAUGAUUGGGCGUAAAGCGUCCGCAGGUGGCUAUGUAAGUCUGCUGUUAAAGAGUGAGGCUCAACCUCAUAAGAGCAGUGGAAACUACAUGGCUAGAGUGCGUUCGGGGCAGAGGGAAUUCCUGGUGUAGCGGUGAAAUGCGUAGAGAUCGGGAAGAACACCGGUGGCGAAAGCGCUCUGCUAGGCCGCAACUGACACUGAGGGACGAAAGCUAGGGGAGCGAAUGGG